rfam:Camelus ferus unplaced genomic scaffold scaffold519, whole genome shotgun sequence.
GGGGGUAUAGGUCAGUGAUAGAGCGCCUGCUUAGCAUGCAUGAGUUCCUGGGUUCAAUCCCCGGUACCUCCA